rnacentral:lncRNA from 1 species
GACGGCGAGGAGGAGCCCGAGGCGACGUCGAUCACGACCUUCAUGCUGGCGGCGGCGGCGGGGCUGCAAUGGUUAGGGACGCCACAGAUGAAGUAGCGGGUGCCGGUGGCGUUGAGGGAGAUGACGUCGUUGCCGGAGGUUAAGGUGUUGAUGGCGCCGUCGGUGCUGCAGGAGUCGUAGCCGGCCUUGCUGACCUCGACCACGUCGUGCGUCGGGGUCGAGUACUUGAAGACGAUGUCAUCACCCACGUUGAACUUCUUGCCGGACACCCAGUUGCUGUAGUCGGUGCUGAGGGCCCAACCGCCCUGAUCGCCGACGUUGUAGGUUACCGCUGACGCGCUGCCUAGUAAGACGGCCAUCGCGGCCACGGCGAGGAGGGUGAUCUUCAUGGCGGCCAUUGAUUGCGGCUGGAGCUGGAAGGAGGAAUGCAGAGCAGAGGAGGUAGAAGGGAGGUGCUGCACUGCUGCUGAUGCUUAGCGGGGGUUUG